ACACAUGCAGUCGAACGGCAGCACAGAGGAGCUUGCUCCUUGGGUGGCGAGUGGCGGACGGGUGAGGAAUACAUCGGAAUCUACUUUUUCGUGGGGGAUAACGUAGGGAAACUUACGCUAAUACCGCAUACGACCUACGGGUGAAAGCAGGGGAUCUUCGGGCCUUGCGCGAUUGAAUGAGCCGAUGUCGGAUUAGCUAGUUGGCGGGGUAAAGGCCCACCAAGGCGACGAUCCGUAGCUGGUCUGAGAGGAUGAUCAGCCACACUGGAACUGAGACACGGUCCAGACUCCUACGGGAGGCAGCAGUGGGGAAUAUUGGACAAUGGGCGCAAGCCUGAUCCAGCCAUACCGCGUGGGUGAAGAAGGCCUUCGGGUUGUAAAGCCCUUUUGUUGGGAAAGAAAUCCAGCCGGCUAAUACCUGGUUGGGAUGACGGUACCCAAAGAAUAAGCACCGGCUAACUUCGUGCCAGCAGCCGCGGUAAUACGAAGGGUGCAAGCGUUACUCGGAAUUACUGGGCGUAAAGCGUGCGUAGGUGGUUGUUUAAGUCUGUUGUGAAAGCCCUGGGCUCAACCUGGGAACUGCAGUGGAAACUGGACAACUAGAGUGUGGUAGAGGGUAGCGGAAUUCCCGGUGUAGCAGUGAAAUGCGUAGAGAU
rnacentral:rRNA from 2 species